AACGCUUGUAAGCUUAAGAACAAUUUGUAUCUCUCUGAAAGAGUCCCAAACGAUGUGUUAAGCAUAUAGACUUUUGGUCUUUUCUUCAUUUAAGUUUGAGAUUGGUUCUUACGCCAGACGGAGACCGGCUCGACCCUAAGCUAAGGUUCAGCACUACUGGGCGCUGGUUUCUCGAUCCUCUCUCUGACUUGAAUUUAGAAGUCAAACAUCAGUCUGAUUGUUAGAUGCAAUUUCCACAUUCAGUAAAAGAACUAGAGUGACUCACGAUAGAACGCUAGAGACGUCACCCAAACACUAGUCCACGAUCCCCCCUCCUUAUGCGAGAAAGAAUGAAUCCCUUGGCGCAGUGGCUGUUGAAUCGGAAGAUGCACAUGGGCCUACGGCUGGUCUAGUGGCACACUCACACGAUCUGAAUCCGAGGAGUUCUGUUUAUGUAAAGAUCGAUUGACUAGUACCUAUACUUUCAAAACAAGCAUUUCCAGCAAGCGAUGGAUCCGCUGGAAUAGCUACAAGGAAAGAUGGGUCCCGCCGAUUGAGGACCAAAUGCUUCUGGGUCUACUGCAACAAGCCUCGCUCUUUUUGAUAGGAAAGGGGCAUAAUGGCGAUCGAGCGCCUUGAGAUGUGAAUUUCUAAUUUAGAUAUUAGAAGCCUUUGUUCUAGGAUACUGUCUAACAAUUUUCUUCUUCGUAAAGUGUAUAUACUUUAAUUCAAUUCUUUGAUUCGAGUAAGAAACUAGGCUCUUAGCCUUUAGGAAUCCAUUUCUUAAAAGAACUCUAGCAGGUCUGGUCUCUCUGUAGGCAUUAAAGGAAGAAUUCUUGCUUAGCACAGGACUAACGUAGACUGAAGCCCAAGCAAAUUCUUAUACUCAUUUUUCUAUUCCCCCAU
rnacentral:lncRNA from 1 species